GGGGGAAUUCCCGAGAGGCCAAAGGGGACAGACUGUAAAUCUGCUAGCACUGCUUUCGGUGGUUCGAAUCCACCUUCCCCCACUA
rnacentral:tRNA from 2 species